GGUGUUGUGGCUCAGCAGUAGAGCACUUGUCUAGCAUGUGCAAGGCCCUGGGUUCAAUCCUCAGCACCA
rnacentral:tRNA from 1 species